ensembl:lncRNA
CUUUCGCCUGGGGUGACGGCUUUCCCCGCCGGCCUCGGAAGGAUGACCUGUAGUCUCUCCCCCAGGCUCCACGACUUCUCGCACUGCUUGCCACCCGAACUUCUCCAGGGCAGUGCACUGGGCCUACCUGUACCUAAGCUCCCUGAAUCCAUCCAUACAACUAGCCCAGAAGCACAUUUUCCUGAAGCCUGUGUCCCCUGCCUGUGAGCUGCUCUCUGAACACCCAAAUAACAGCAAAAGCUGUGACCGAACCAGAUUCCUUUGCCUGAUGUGCAGCAAGCCAAACACUGAGAUGCUGAGGUUUGCAGCAGAGAAAGAGUUUACUCAUGAGACAGUCAAGCGGGAAAAUGGGAAAACAAGUCUCAAAACCCCUUGCCGAAGGUGAGGAGCUUGGGCUAUCUAUGGGAUAAAGCUGAGCCCUGGGGAGUGUGGGGGAAGGUGAUUGGAAAUAAGAAAAGGUGAGGCAAUCAUUGUCCUGCACAGCUGAAACUAAUCAAAGCCUUUCCCCUGGGCUACAUGUUCAGAAAAU